rnacentral:lncRNA from 1 species
CUCCAGGCCACUGAGUUGCCUGCCAUCCAAAGGGGGUGGGCGGGAUUGGAAGGAGGCUGUGGCAGCUCUGUUCCCUGUUCACCUCCCCCUGCCAGGGAAGGCAGUACCCUCUCUGCCAAGGGCCCUCUGUGUAUUCCCUUCUCUCUGAGGAAUUGAAAUUUUUGUCUCUGGUGCACGUAAAGCAGAAUGUUCCCUGACACCAGUGUGUGGAUUUUUAACAUCGCCGUGAGUCUGAAAGGACCACAGGUUUUUCUGCAGCUAUUUUCUAGCAUUUGCCAGUCCCUGUGCCUGGACUGAUUUGAAUACUUUGUUUCUCUCCCUGUACCAUUUACCCUCCCACCUUUCCAUCCUGCCUCCUACCACCCUUGGAUAAAUGGAUUUUGUAAUUCUAGCUGUUGUAUUUUGUGGAUUUGUUAUUUUUGUUGUUUUUCUGUGAAGCACAUACAUUGGAAAUGGGAGGUAAAGAGUGUCCCAGUUGCUCCUGGUCACUCCCUUUAUAGCCAUUACUGUCUUGUUUCUUGUAACUCAGGUUAGGUUUUGGUCUCUCUUGCUCCACUGCAAACAAACAAACAAACAAAAAUCCUGAAGAGAUGAGAUAGGAGGAAAGACCUCACAGCCGUCUGCUGGGUUUGAGGGAGUGAUUUUCUUCCUUCCCUUUGAAGGGGAGAAAGCUAUUUUCACUGGUACAUUUAAAGUCCCCCAACUAUGGGGAGGUACCAAUUCUGGACAAGUGCCACUGCAACAACACUAAACCUGAACUUUUCAACUCUGUUGAAGGUGGGAAGGCAGCGGGCAGAAAUCUACUAUUGGCCACUGCCAGGUCUGUUUCAUAUUUCAAAGGAAUAUUGGGUGCUGCAAAUAGGAACUGAAGGGGUAAAUGUAUUAAACCUGUGAUUAUUUGAUGUUUUCCUGCCAUUUUAAGAAAUUAAAUGUUGGGGGCAGAUAUCAAAAUACUUGUACAAUUUUAAAAUGUCACAAGUAAACCUGAGCUGGUUUCCAAAAAAAAAAGAAA